GGAAAUGCUUCCUGGUUGAUCCUGCCAGUAG
rnacentral:rRNA from 1 species